UUCGGCCCAUUUCGAUCGUUUGGCUGCCCACGAGCGACCGGAUUAAAACCCUAAAGGCUUGUUCGGUUGGUCCGGGGACAGCCGGGGUCGUGGCCUGACCCCGUGGAUCAGCCUGGCGCGGAAAAAUUCACAGCCCAGUAACUUUUGCGUCUUCGUCUAAGCUUAGUCGGGAUUCUAACCUGGCCCACCCCAUUGUUUCCCCCUCUCUCGGGCCUGGAAAAAACCAUCGAGUCCGUACUCCGUAGGCGUGGAAAAAAAUCCUCGACGCGAGUCGGAGGCGGUGCUGCGGCGGCUACGCGACUCGAAGGCGACGUCGACGAGGUGGUCUCCCCUCCGACGUCCAUCUCCUCCGGAUGGCUGUUCGUUCGGAUGGUUGGAGGCGGUGCUCGGAUUUGAGAGCUUCAGAUUUCUUGGACGUCCUGUAGGUAAAAAUACUCCUUUUUUUCUUCUCGGCCGGCGGAUGGACGCGAGGGAGGUGUGAAGCCUGGUCGCUAACAUGCUAGUGGAGAGAUUCGGGGGAGAGGAGCGCGUGGUGAGGAGCGCCGACAAGUUGGUCAUUGUAGCGACGAGGCGGAUGGAGCUCACUGGGAGGGACGCCAGUUUCUCGAUCCCAACCGAAGCAAGUGACUUUGAGUCAUGGAAGCAUUUGUCGAGCACAGACUUUGAGCUUGAGAGGCCAGCAAGCGCCGCUCCAGUAAAGAGUAGCUCACAUGGGCACCACAAGAAGUUGUUGAAUGGUUCUGGCCUUAACCUCUCGACCAUUGCCCACCUGGAGAGUUUAUCCGGGAAAUCCAACUACCUACCUGGAUCCCUGUAGAUGCUACUUUGGAAGCAUAUCAUGAUGAAACAGAAACAUGCCUGGAGAUUAUUGUCCCUAAAUUCCGUAUUGGUCCUGAAGAACAUGAAGUGCAUGUGUCCGUGAGGCCACCCUCGUCGUGGUGCCAAUGAAAACAUGUUCAAGGUGUGUGAUGGAUGUUCCUGUAUUAGUUAGUAGUCCAUUCUUGUUAGCUUCCCUUGACUGAUGUUAUGUUGUCUGCUAAUCUUCUAGUGUGCGAGGAGACAUGUCGUGUGAAGGUUUUUUAUUGUUACCAUAAAACACAGUACAACAAAUGCACCUCAGUUUUGCUAAUUGUGACGGAAAACAGCCCUGAUUGAUUGAAGCAUUAUGGUGGUUGGCAAUUGCAGCAUUUGGAACAUUUUGUUGCGAUAUGCUACAGGUCACAAGGAACAUAUCUGCACUACUAAGUUCUUUGUUUCAAUGUGCUUGUUUGGGGAUACGUUAUGCAUUACUUUUGUUUUGGCUGGAAUUUUUGUUAUGUCAAAAGGUUGGUUGCCUGCUCGAUGUGCUUCUACGUGUACAUCACUGACGUCAACAAUUUGCUUGUUCUACAGAAUGGCUCCUGGAUAACCGUAUAGGCAUUUUCUAUAGAUGGUAAGAAAGCUUGCUUUUGGGUAUUCUUGGAAAAUUCAUCUCAAAUAGAUGGAAGCUACCACAUGUCGGUACCUUUAGGAUUUGUUAAUGUUCUCAUGGGAAUUAAUUAGUGGUUUUUUAGCAUUUGUGAACAUUUCCCAGGAAUUUCUGCAAGACAGUUGUAAUCUAUUGGAAACUGUAUCUUAUCUAUUAUCAAUAUAGAAGUGAUUAGUGUCUUUCAGUAA